AGUGAACGCUGGCGGUAGGCCUAACACAUGCAAGUCGAACGGCAGCACAGUAAGAGCUUGCUCUUACGGGUGGCGAGUGGCGGACGGGUGAGGAAUACAUCGGAAUCUACUUUUUCGUGGGGGAUAACGUAGGGAAACUUACGCUAAUACCGCAUACGACCUACGGGUGAAAGCAGGGGAUCUUCGGACCUUGCGCGAUUGAAUGAGCCGAUGUCGGAUUAGCUAGUUGGCGGGGUAAAGGCCCACCAAGGCGACGAUCCGUAGCUGGUCUGAGAGGAUGGUAGCCCAAACUAGAACUGAGACACGGUCCAGACUCCUAAGGGAGGCAGCAGUGGGAAAUAUUGGACAAAGGGGUCAAGCCUGAUCCAGGCAUUCCGCGUGGGUGAAGAAGGCCUUCGGGUUGUAAAGCCCUUUUGUUGGGAAAGAAAAGCAGCAGGUUAAUACCCCGCUGUUCUGACGGUACCCAAAGAAUAAGCACCGGCUAACUUCGUG
rnacentral:rRNA from 1 species